CUUCAUAAUGCUUCUGUCAAUAUUGGCAUUGCCACCUAGGUGACAGAAGUUAAGGUGUUAAAUUACAUUGAAAAGAGAACAUAUCAAUGUUUCUUUAGAAAGAAUACACAAGGAAGAACACUAACAACACAUCAAAUGACCAAUUAAAUACUAAAGAAAGGGGAUAAACAUGGCGCACAAUUACUUGGCCAAGCUGAUUCCAGCCCUAAUCACACCAAUGCCUCUUGGGUCAAGAUUAACCUAGAACCCUAAUCAUGAUCAAGCUCGUUCGGAACAAUAAUUUGGGGCUUGAAGAAAGGAAAGAAUACGCUUCAUGCAAAUUGGGGCAAUCAUGCUUUUUUCACAGCAGAUUAGCAAACAGCCAAACCAAUCACAACAACAAACUAAAUUUAGUGAUUUCCUGAAGUUCAGGAAUGUCUAAGCCCAAAAUAAAAUAAGGAUACCGG
rnacentral:misc_RNA from 1 species